UGGGGAAUAUUGCACAAUGGGCGCAAGCCUGAUGCAGCCAUGCCGCGUGUGUGAAGAAGGCCUUCGGGUUGUAAAGCACUUUCAGCGAGGAGGAAGGUGGUGAACUUAAUACGUUCAUCAAUUGACGUUACUCGCAGAAGAAGCACCGGCUAACUCCGUGCCAGCAGCCGCGGUAAUACGGAGGGUGCAAGCGUUAAUCGGAAUUACUGGGCGUAAAGCGCACGCAGGCGGUUUGUUAAGUCAGAUGUGAAAUCCCCGGGCUCAACCUGGGAACUGCAUUUGAAACUGGCAAGCUAGAGUCUCGUAGAGGGGGGUAGAAUUCCAGGUGUAGCGGUGAAAUGCGUAGAGAUCUGGAGGAAUACCGGUGGCGAAGGCGGCCCCCUGGACGAAGACUGACGCUCAGGUGCGAAAGGCGUGGGGAGCAAAACAGGAUUAGAUACCCUGGUAGUCCACGCUGUAAAACGAUGUCGAUUUUGGAGGUUGUGCCCUUGAGGCGUGGCUUCCGGAGCUAACGCGUUAAAUCGACCGCCU
rnacentral:rRNA from 1 species